AGGACGAACGCUGGCGGCGUGCCUAACACAUGCAAGUCGAACGAGAUCCAUCCGGUAGCAAUACCGGUGAAGAUCAAGUGGCGAACGGGUGAGUAGCACGUGAGCAACCUGCCCCGAAGACCGGGACAACACCGGGAAACCGGUGCUAAUACCGGAUAUCCCCACCGAGUCGCAUGGCUUGGUGAGGAAAUGGAUUCCGCUUCGGGAGGGGCUCGCGGCCUAUCAGCUUGUUGGUGAGGUAACGGCUCACCAAGGCUUCGACGGGUAGCUGGUCUGAGAGGACGAUCAGCCACACUGGGACUGAGACACGGCCCAGACUCCUACGGGAGGCAGCAGUGGGGAAUCUUGCACAAUGGGCGAAAGCCUGAUGCAGCAACGCCGCGUGAGGGACGAAGGCUUUCUGAGUUGUAAACCUCUUUCAGCAGGGACGAUUGUGACGGUACCUGCAGAAGAACGCCCCGGCAACUACGUGCCAGCAGCCGCGGUAAU
rnacentral:rRNA from 1 species